rnacentral:rRNA from 1 species
CCUACGGGAGGCAGCAGUAGGGAAUAUUGCGCAAUGGGCGAAAGCCUGACGCAGCGACGCCGCGUGAGUGAUGAAGGCCUUCGGGUCGUAAAGCUCUGUUGUACGGGAAGCGGUACCGUAUAAGAAAGGACCGGCUAACUUCGUGCCAGCAGCCGCGGUAAGACGAGGGGUCCUAGCGUUGUUCGGAAUCACUGGGCGUAAAGCGUUUGUAGGCGGCUCCGCAAGUCGGGUGUGAAAUCCCACGGCUCAACCGUGGAAGUGCAUUCGAAACUGCAGAGCUUGAAUAUGGAAGAGGAGAGUAGAAUUCCAGGUGUAGUGGUGAAAUACGUAGAUAUCUGGAGGAAUACCGGUGGCGAAGGCGGCUCUCUGGUCCAAAUUGACGCUGAGAAACGAAAGUGCGGGGAUCAAACAGGAUUAGAUACCCUUGUAGUC